rnacentral:rRNA from 1 species
UACAUGUGGGGCAAGCGUUGUUCGGAAUUACUGGGCAUAAAGGGUGCGUAGGCGGCUUGUUAAGUCAGGGGUGAAAGUUUUCGGCCCAACCGGAAAAUUGCCUUUGAUACUGGCGAGCUCGAGUGCGUGAGGGGUAACCGGAACGAGCAGUGUAGCGGUGAAAUGCGUAGAUAUGUCACAGAACACCAAUUGCGAAGGCAGCUUACUAAAGUACGAUUGACGCUGAGGCACGAAAGCGUGGGGAUCAAACAGG